rnacentral:rRNA from 1 species
AGGGAGAAGCCCAGCACCCAAGCGCCCGUCCCAAUGGGGCGGGAGUGCUAUUUGGUGUUUAGGAGUAGCGCGACCGAAGGUUGACCUAAGCGCAAGUCCCCCUGACUGGGGCUCUCGCCCAUAGAGGGUGCAAGGCCCAUAGUCGCUUAUGGUCUCCGGCGGAAGCAAAACUCCUUGGAGUCGGGUUGCUUGAGAGUGCAGCCCUAAGUGGGUGGUAAACUCCAUCUAAGGCUAAAUACGACCACGAAACCGAUAGCGAACAAGUACCGUGAGGGAAAGUUGAAAAGAACUUUGAAGAGAGAGUUCAAGAGUGCGUGAAACCGUUUAGAGGUAAACGGGUGGGCCCUCGAAGGUGAUCGUCGGAGGGAUUCAGUCGGACGUGACCGCGUGCGUCGUUCGUCUCUAACGGUGCGGACCUCGGUCGGCCGGGCGGGCGAUUGCUGCGGGCCGUUUGGCGCAUUUCCUUCCGUUCGAACUACGCUGCGACCGGUCUGGUCACUGAAAGUUGUCCGUCUUUGAAAGCGGGCGCCGGAAGGUGGCCGGUGGUUUCUCCCUCGCGGAGUUUCUACCGGUGUUUUAGCCAGCUCGUUUCACGAGUGAGCGUUCGCCAGACCGGGGACGAUUUUAGCCCUGUGCGGGCUACGCCGAGCACUCCCUUUACCGGGAACGAAGCGGCGGGACAGGUGUUGUCGUUCGGUUUGUCGUUUCACCUUUGUGUGAGCGGCUGCCGGCGAUCUCCGCUGGUUUCCGUUCGCACUCGUCGAUGCUCAGUUGACCCGUCUUGAAACACGGACCAAGGAGUCUAACAUGUGCGCGAGUCAUUGGGUCUUGAAUAGGCCCAAAGGCGAAAUGAAAGUGAAGACCGGUUCGGCCGGUUGCCUUGGGAUCCCGCGAGCCUCGCGUUCGUGGGCGCACCAAGGGCCCGUCCCGAUCGCCUCGUCGACGGGGCGGAGCAAGAGCGUACACGUUGGGACCCGAAAGAUGGUGAACUAUGCCUGGGCAGGACGAAGCCAGAGGAAACUCUGGUGGAGGUCCGCAGCGAUUCUGACGUGCAAAUCGAUCGGUGGGAUGAACCAAACGCCGGGUUAAGGGGCCCGAUACGAGACGCUCAUGAGAUCCCAUGAAAGGUGUUGGUUGCUAUAGACAGCAGGACGGUGGCCAUGGAAGUCGGAAUCCGCUAAGGAGUGUGUAACAACUCACCUGCCGAAGCAACUAGCCCUGAAAAUGGAUGGCGCUCCAGCGUCGACCCCAUACCCGGCCGCCGCGGCCGAAUAAACCAUGGUGUUUUAAGCCGCGGUGAGUAGGAGGGGCGCAGAGGCGCGCGUCGAAGGUGCCGAGCGUAAGCUCGCCUGGAGCCGCCUCUGGUGCAGAUCUUGGUGGUAGUAGCAAAUACUCAAGUGAGAACCUUGAGGACUGAGGUGGAGAAGGGUUCCAUGUGAACAGCAGUUGAACAUGGGUCAGUCGGUCCUAAGGGAUAGGAGAAAUCCGUUCCGAGGCGGGACCUCUCAUUCGCAAGUCCCGCUGGUGACCGAAAGGGAAUCGGGUUAAUAUUCCCGAACCCGGACACGGAGAUCGUCCCCUUCGGGGGUACAUUGCGGUAACGCAAACGAGCUCGGAGACGUCGACGGGAGUCCCGGGAAGAGUUGUCUUUUCUUUGUAAGGAUUCGACUCCCUGGAAUCGGCUCGCCCGGAGAUAGGGAUGGUGUUUCCGUAAAGCACCGCG